rnacentral:lncRNA from 1 species
CCCGCUCCCCCGACCCCGACCCUGCGCCCGCCCAGCCCGGCGCCUCCGUCGCCCGCGCCUCCGUCGCCUGCUCCUCCGUCACCAACGCCUCCCAGCCCUGCGCCGCCGUCGCCUGCGCCUCCCUCGCCCGCUCCUCCUUCACCUGCCCCGCCCAGCCCCGCGCCGCCCCCGCCAUGCGACGAUUGCCCGUCGCUGUUCAUCUCUGAGUUCCACUAUGACCAGAACCCCAGGGGCGGCAACAGCGACAAGCGGGAGUGGAUUGAGAUUAUUGUGCCUGCCGGCUUCGACUGGAGGCAAGACCUGUGGCUGGCGCAGUACACGUUCAACGGCAACCCGCAGACCGCCAGCGGCAGCCUGCACGGCAACGUGUUCCCGUUCACGUCACCCCAGAUCACCGUCAUUAGCGAGACUCGGCUGCAGACGCCCAACUUCGACUGGACGGCGCUGGUGAUUGACCUGCAGGGCAACCUGCAGAACAGCAAUGGCGGCUGGGACGGCUUUGCGCUGCUGACCAAGUGCACGGACGGCGUGCGCUGGUCGGUGGCGGACUUCAUCUGCUACGGCGCCAACUCGCAGGGCUUCAACAGCAUCGCCGCGAACGGCCCCGCGGCCGGCUACAGCUGCACCAACGUUGGCGCCGGCGUGAUUGAGAACAACAACACGCCUCAGGGCACCUCCAUCCAGCGUCUCAACACCGGCGACUGGAGCACCGUGGCCACGUGGAACUGGCAGGCCAACCUACCGCAGACCUGGGGCAGCCUGUUCAACCCCAGCAUCGCCCUGGGCACCAUCCCGCAAGUUGAGGCUUGCGGCGUGCCUCCCGCCGCGAAGCCUCCCUCGCCCGCUCCUCCCAGCCCUGCCCCGCCGUCACCUGCGCCUCCAAGCCCUGCUCCUCCCUCUCCCAAGCCUCCCAGCCCCGCGCCCCCGACCCCGACCCUGAGCCCGCCCAGCCCCGCGCCUCCGUCGCCCGCGCCUCCUUCGCCUGCUCCUCCGUCACCAACGCCUCCCAGCCCUGUGCCGCCGUCUCCUGCGCCUCCCUCGCCCGCUCCUCCUUCACCUGCCCCGCCCAGCCCCGCGCCGCCACCGCCAUGCGACGAUUGCCCGUCGCUGUUCAUCUCUGAGUUCCACUAUGACCAGGACCCCAGGGGCGGCAACAGCGACAAGCGGGAGUGGAUUGAGAUCAUCGUGCCUGCCGGCUUCGACUGGAGGCAAGACCUGUGGCUGGCGCAGUACACGUUCAAUGGCAACCCGCAGACCGCCAGCGGCAGCCUGCACGGCAACGUGUUCCCGUUCACGUCACCCCAGAUCACCGUCAUUAGCGAGACUCGGCUGCAGACGCCCAACUUCGACUGGACGGCGCUGGUGAUUGACCUGCAGGGCAACCUGCAGAACAGCAAUGGCGGCUGGGACGGCUUUGCGCUGCUGACCAAGUGCACGGACGGCGUGCGCUGGUCUGUGGCGGACUUCAUCUGCUACGGCGCCAACUCGCAGGGCUUCAACAGCAUCGCCGCGAACGGCCCCGCGGCCGGCUACAGCUGCACCAACGUUGGCGCCGGCGUGAUUGAGAACAACAACACGCCUCAGGGCACCUCCAUCCAGCGUCUCACCACCGGCGACUGGACCACCGUGGCCACGUGGAACUGGCAGGCCAACCUACCGCAGACCUGGGGCAGCCUGUUCAACCCCAGCGUGCCCCUGGGCGACAUCCCGCAGGUUGAGGCCUGCGGCGUGCCGCCCGCCGCAAAGCCUCCCUCGCCCGCUCCUCCCAGUCCGGUUCCUCCUAGCCCUGCCCCGCCGUCGCCUGCGCCUCCCUCGCCCGCUCCGCCCACCCCGAAGCCGCCGAGCCCGGCGCCUCCAAGCCCUGCUCCUCCCUCUCCCAAGCCUCCCAGCCCCGCACCCCCGACACCGACCCUGCGCCCGCCCAGCCCAGCGCCUCCGUCGCCCGCGCCUCCUUCGCCUGCGCCACCUACCCCGGCCCCGCCCAGCCCCGCGCCGCCUUCGCCUGCGCCUCCGUCGCCCGCGCCUCCCAGCCCCGCUCCCCCGACCCCGACCCUGCGCCCGCCCAGCCCGGCGCCUCCGUCGCCCGCGCCUCCGUCGCCCGCGCCUCCGUCACCAACGCCUCCCAGCCCUGCGCCGCCGUCGCCUGCGCCUCCCUCGCCCGCUCCUCCUUCACCUGCCCCGCCCAGCCCCGCGCCGCCCCCGCCAUGCGACGAUUGCCCGUCGCUGUUCAUCUCUGAGUUCCACUAUGACCAGAACCCCAGGGGCGGCAACAGCGACAAGCGGGAGUGGAUUGAGAUCAUUGUGCCUGCCGGCUUCGACUGGAGGCAAGACCUGUGGCUGGCGCAGUACACGUUCAACGGCAACCCGCAGACCGCCAGCGGCAGCCUGCACGGCAACGUGUUCCCGUUCACGUCACCCCAGAUCACCGUCAUUAGCGAGACUCGGCUGCAGACGCCCAACUUCGACUGGACGGCGCUGGUGAUUGACCUGCAGGGCAACCUGCAGAACAGCAAUGGCGGCUGGGACGGCUUUGCGCUGCUGACCAAGUGCACGGACGGCGUGCGCUGGUCUGUGGCGGACUUCAUCUGCUACGGCGCCAACUCGCAG